UGAAUACGAGAUGCUACGGCGUCGAAGCAGUCUAUGUCAUACUUCCAAGAAAAGCUUGCACUGUCAUAAACAAAUAAUGCCUGUACCAUAACCGACACAGGUGGGUAGGUAGAGUAUACUAAGGGGCGCGAGAUAACUCUCUCUAAGGAACUCGGCAAAAUGACUCCGUAACUUCGGGAGAAGGAGUGCCUUAUUUAUAAGGUUGCAAUAACAAGAUCCAAGCAACUGUUUACCAAAAACACAGGUCUCCGCUAAGUCGUAAGACGAUGUAUGGGGGCUGACGCCUGCCCAGUGCCAGAAGGUUAAAGAAGUUGGUUAGCAUCCGCGAAGCUGAUAACUGAAGCCCUGGUGAACGGCGGCCGUAACAAUAACGGUCCUAAGGUAGCGAAAUUCCUUGUCGGGUAAGUUCCGACCCGCACGAAAGGCGUAAUGAUUUGGAUACUGUCUCGGAGAGGGGCUCGGUGAAAUAGACUUGUCUGUGAAGAUGCGGACUACCUGCACCAGGACAGAAAGACCCUAUGAAGCUUUACUGUAACCUGAAAUUGAAAUUGGACUUUACUUGCGCAGUAUAGGUGGGAGGCGUUGAGAAUAUUCUUGCGGGAUUAUUGGAGCCAUCAGUGAGAUACCACUCUUGUAAUGUUAGAUUUCUAACUUUGUAUCAUUAUCUGGUCAAAGAACAGUUUCAGGCGGGCAGUUUGACUGGGGCGGUCGCCUCCUAAACGGUAACGGAGGCGCACAAAGGUUUCCUCUGAACGGGUAGAAAUCGUAUCUAGAGUGUAAAGGCAUAAGGAAGCUUGACUGUGAGACCUACAAGUCGAGCAGGGACGAAAGUCGGUCUUAGUGAUCUGACGGUGCUGAGUGGAAAGGCCGUCACUCAACGGAUAAAAGUUACUCUAAGGAUAACAGGCUGAUCUCCCCCAAGAGUUCACAUCGACGGGGAGGUUUGGCACCUCGAUGUCGGCUCAUCGCAUCCUGGGGCGGUAGUACGUCCCAAGGGUUGGGCUGUUCGCCCAUGAAAGCGGUACGCGAGCUGGGUUCAGAACGUCGUGAGACAGUUCGGUCCAUAUCCGGUGUAGGCGUUAGAAUAUUGAGGGGAGCCUUCUUUAGUACGAGAGGACCGAGAAGGACAUACCUCUGGUGUACCAGUUAUCGUGCCAACGGUAAACGCUGGGUAGCUAUGUGUGGAGUGGAUAACCGCUGAAAGCAUCUAAGUGGGAAGCCCACCUCAAGAUAAGUAUUCUCA
rnacentral:rRNA from 1 species